CAGCAGCCGCGGUAAUACCAGCGCCACGAGUGGUCGUCACGAUUAUUGGGCCUAAAGCGUUCGUAGCCGGCUCGGUAAGUCUCUUGUGAAAUUGUCCUGCUCAACGGGACAGCGUGCAGGAGAUACUGCCAAGCUCGAGACCGGGAGGGGUUAGAGGUAUUCCAUAGGGACCGGUAAAAUGGGAUAAUCUAUGGAGGACCACCGAUGGCGAAGGCAUCUAACCAAAACGGAUCUGACGGUGAGGAACGAAAGCCAGGGGAGCGAACCGGAUUAGAUACCCGAGUAGUCCUGGCCGUAAACGCUGUGAGCUAGGUGUUGCGUAUCUCACGAAGAUGCGCAGUGUCGAAACGAAGGUGAUAAGCUCACCGCCUGGGAAGUACCGUCGCCAGACUGAAACUUUAAGGAAUUGGCGGGGGCGCACUACAAGGGGUGCGGCGUGCGGUUUAAUCUAACUCAACGCAGAGAACCUUACUAGUGGCGACGGCAGGAUGAAGGCCGUGUUGAAGACACUGCCAGACGAGCCGAGAGGUAGUGCAUGGCCGCCGUCAGCUCGUGCCGUGAGGUGUCCAGUUAAGUCUGGUAACGAGCAAGACCUGUAUCCACAAUUGCUAACGACCUUCGGGAUCGAGCACUUUGUGGAGACUGCCUUCGUAAGAAGGAGGAAGGUGCAGGCAACGGUAGGUCUGUAUGCUCCGAAUCCACUAGGCUACACGCGCGCAACAAUGGUACAGACAAUGGGAUGCAACUCCGAAAGGAGAAGCGAAUCCUCGAAACUCUAUCUUAGUCCGGAUCGAGGCUUGCAACUCAGCCUCGUGACGUCGGAAUCCCUAGUAAUCAGCUGUCAUCAUCUGCUGGUGAAUAUGUCCCUGCGCCUUGCACACACCGCCCGUCAAACCAACCGAGCAGGGUCCGGGUAAACCACGCUUUCUUGAGCAUGGUGAAUCUAGACUCAGUGAGGUGGGUUAAGUCGUAACAAGGUAACCGUA
rnacentral:rRNA from 1 species